rnacentral:rRNA from 1 species
UACAGAGGGUGCGAGCGUUUGUUCGGAAUUACUGGGCGUAAAGCGCGCGCAGGCGGUCCUUUAAGUCUACCCGUGAAAUGCCGGAGCUCAACUCCGUGCACGCCGGGGGAUACUGGGGGACUGGAGACAUGUAGAGGCAAGCGGAAUUCCGGGUGUAGCAGUGAAAUGCGUAGAUAUCAGGAGGAACACCAAUGGCGAAGGCAGAUCUCUGGGCCGUAACUGACGCUGGAGGAGCGAAAGCAUGGGGAGCGAACAGG